UCGUAACAAGGUCUCCGUUGGUGAACCAGCGGAGGGAUCAUUACCGAGUUAUACAACUCAUCAACCCUGUGAACAUACCUAAACGUUGCCUCGGCGGGAACAGACGGCCCCGUGAAAACGGGCCGCCCCCGCCAGAGGACCCCCUAACUCUGUUUCUAUAAUGUUUCUUCUGAGUAAAACAAGCAAAUAAAUUAAAACUUUCAACAACGGAUCUCUUGGCUCUGGCAUCGAUGAAGAACGCAGCGAAAUGCGAUAAGUAAUGUGAAUUGCAGAAUUCAGUGAAUCAUCGAAUCUUUGAACGCACAUUGCGCCCGCCAGUAUUCUGGCGGGCAUGCCUGUUCGAGCGUCAUUACAACCCUCAGGCCCCCGGGCCUGGCGUUGGGGAUCGGCGGAGGCCCUCCGUGGGCACACGCCGUCCCCCAAAUACAGUGGCGGUCCCGCCGCAGCUUCCAUCGCGUAGUAGCUAACACCUCGCGACUGGAGAGCGGCGCGGCCACGCCGUAAAACCCCCAACUCUUCUGAAGUUGACCUCGAAUCAGGUAGGAAUACCCGCUGAACCUAAGCAUAUCA
rnacentral:misc_RNA from 1 species